UAUGGUGGUGACAGGAGAAGACACACACAUGGGAAGGGAAAGGACUAGUCUGUACAUGAUUUAUGAUGAAAUAUUUGCUAAAACAAGAAUUUAUGCCUUUAUAUUUUGAGCAAAUUUUAUUCCAGUAGAACAACAUUGUCAAUAGGAGGUCCAACCAAGCUCUUAGCAGUUGAAAAACGAAAAAGUAAAGAACAAAGGGACCUUCGGAACUCAACAAAGCAACUUGAAGUGG
rnacentral:misc_RNA from 1 species